rfam:Myotis lucifugus cont2.41914, whole genome shotgun sequence.
CAUGCAGUGGUGGGGUCCCUCAGCCUGGCCUGUGGACCCCUCAGGGGAUGUCGAAGAGCCAGUUUUGGCCUGAUCCCCACAGGCCAGGCUGAGGGACCCCACCAGUGCACG